AGGACGAACGCUGGCGGCGUGCUUAACACAUGCAAGUCGAGCGGAAAGGCCCUUCGGGGUACUCGAGCGGCGAACGGGUGAGUAACACGUGAGCAAUCUGCCCUUAGCUUCGGGAUAGCUCCGGGAAACCGGAAUUAAUACCGAAUACUACUACGGCCGACAUCGGCCGUGGUGGAAAGUUUUUCGGCCAGGGAUGGGCUCGCGGCCUAUCAGCUUGUUGGCAGGGUAAUGGCCUACCAAGGCGACGACGGGUA
rnacentral:rRNA from 1 species